rnacentral:lncRNA from 1 species
GAGCACCAGCAUCCACAGCUGCUUGAGGAGGAAACAUCAACAGAAAGCAAAACAAUUAAUCAUCCACUGAUGGAGGAGGAGGAUGAUGAAGAUGGAGGACAGGAGCACCAGUAUCCACAGCAUCCUGAGGAAACAUCAACAGGGGACAGAAAGACUUCUAUUCACCAAAACAAUACAGGAGUGCCAGCAUCCACUGAUGGAGGAGGAGGAUGAAGAAGAUGGAGGACAUUAGCACCAGCAUCCACAGCUGCCUGAGGAGGAAACAUCAACAGAAAGCAAAACAAUCAAAACAAUUAAUGUAAGUAAAGCCUCUCAUUGGCACAGAAAGACACUGAACUAAUGUUUAAUGUAAAAAUAGAGGUGACUUUAUACUAAUGCCUGUAAAAUGUUGGACUGGAACAAUGGCAUCUACUGAUGGAGGAGGAGGAUGAAGAUGGAGGACAGGAGCACCAGUAUCCACAGCAUCCUGAGGAAACAUCAACAGAGGACAGAGACUUCUAUUCACCAAAACAAUACAGGAGCACCAGCAUCCACAGCAUCCUGAGGAGGAAACAUUACCAGAGGACAGAAAGACUUCUAUUCACCAAAACAAUCAAUAGUUUUGCUUCAGAGGAGAAUCCGACAGUUCCAGAUGUUCGUCACCAGCACUGCAGUGUUUACACAGACUGCUUUGGUUUCAACUUUCUACAAAAAACUGUUGAAUUUUCAACUCACUUUCCAUCUGAAUCCAAGCUCAUCUUCAUCACUGGGAUGUUUCUUCAUCAGUUCUUCGUACAGACUGACACAGCUCACACAUGGAGAAGAUGAUUUAUGGAAUAUGACAUUUAGAUUUUUCCUUUUCUCAACAGUAUGAUGCAUACAUCCCAACCCAAAUUUCAUGCAUUUUUUUGGCUUAACUUGAGCCAAUUUCCAUCAAUAAAUUGCUAAUGUAUUAUUAUUAUUGACUAUUA